CUACUAACAUACGAUGUUGUAGAACAUACUUAACUUAGUAUGUUGGUCCAAAAUAUAAGUAGUCGUACUCGGGGUCAGAGUUUAGAGCCACCUUUGGAUGAUUUUUAGAUCAUCAAUCCGACUAUUCCUUUGAAUGGUGUAGAGAUCGGGUUUGAAUGUUAUAACCCACAACUUUGCUAGUUGUAUAAACUUUUUGGAGACCGGAUGAUGCAUAUGACUUACGGGAUAGGGUGCCAUAUUCCUUUGCUUGUACCCCUUCAAUCGUAAUCACGUUUAUUAUGGCUUGAAUCUCCCAAGUUGCUAACCAUUCAAGACAGAUUGAGCUAAGAGAGACUCCUUUGAUAAUGUUGCUUUGAAUUUUUAGACUUCCAUUCAUGCGAAGUUUUCUAAGGUUAUGCGUUUGUGUGAGAUGAAUAAGGUAUUCCUUACAUCACCAAAAAAAAAAAAACAAAGAACAAUCGUUGAAGCUAAGACAGAUAAAGCAUAUUCAUUCAUUCAUGACCAAAAUAAGAUUGAUUGAUAGGGGGUGUGAUCCAUGUUUGAAGCUAUCCUGGCUAAUGCAUCAGUGUGGUUAUUUUCUUCUCUUAGAAUUUGCGUAAUUUAGUAGUUUUCGAAUCAUUUGAGGAAUGUUUUGACCUUGUUUAGGUAAAGCCCUAUCAUAGGAUGAUGCGUGGCGUUAUCCCUCGUGACCUGAUUAACUAUGAGCAUCGAGCCAUAAUGAAUCAACAAUUCUCUCACCUGGAGCGAUCCGAGGACAGAGGGCUUGGAUUUGGGUCUAUUGAUGGGUUAUUCCGUGGUACUGAUACUCUCAUCAACUUCUAAUGUGGAUGCGCCGCCUUGUGCGCUUAAAUCUAAUAGAGAAAAACCUUGGGUGAGAGAAUCUAGUGGUUGCACAACCAUGGGUGAGUGAAUAUGGCAAUUGCACCAGCUUAGCCUAUCAGAUUUGGCAGUUGCGCCACCUGUGUUUUUCAAGGCAGCUCCGCUGCCUGCAUUUCCAAAUUAAUUGGUAACUCUAUGGCCUUCCUUGACUUGUGGAUGUUGCAAAUUCAACUUGAACAUUGCUAUUGCAAGUAGCCUUGGCAAGAGUGUCCUAGUUCUCACUGGAAUGAAUCGACACAAGAUUCCUUUCUUGGAGUAGUUUAGUU
rnacentral:lncRNA from 1 species